rnacentral:tRNA from 1 species
GCCAGCAUAGCUCAGUUGGUAGAGCAGCUGAUUUGUAAUCAGCUGGUCGGGGGUUCGAGUCCCUCUGCUGGCUC